AGUACGAGAGGACCGGGUCGUACGUACCGCUGGUGUAUCUGUUGUGCCGCCAGGUGCAGCGCAGAGUAGCUAUGUACGGACAGGAUAAACGCUGAAAGCAUCUAAGCGUGAAACCUUCCACGAGAUGAGUUUUCUUUUAAGGGUCGUCAAAGACUAUGACGUUGAUAGGCUAUAGGUGUAAAGGUGGCAACAUCAAAGCCGAGUAGUACUAAUUGCCCGUACGCUUUAAUUUUUUU
rnacentral:rRNA from 1 species